AUGAUCUUAUCUUUGCCAGUCAUAACAGCCAGUGAUUUCUCAGCUGAGGGGGUUCUCCUUUCCAACACCAGCCAGAACAGUUUGCAGGGAGGGCUCUACCAGCCACCUGAGCCACCGGAAUAUUUAAUCACACCAGCAGUCCCACUGUACUCGAUGGACUCGUUUGCUGGUUUGGGCUAUUUGGCUGUCAGCACACUCAGCUCAAGUCUCACAUCUAACACCCUAGAAGUAUCUCCAGGGUUUAGCAACCUUCCAUCAGCAAUACAUCUGGAGAUAGCCAAUAUAAUAUGACUGAGCCUUCCAAGAAUUGAAAUCAAUAAACAUAUUUUUCUGGUAAUUAAAAUAUUUUUA
rnacentral:lncRNA from 1 species